CUUGGGGUUGAAGCUCAGUGGUAGAACACUUGCCUCACACAUAUGAUGCACUGAGUUCAAUCCUCAGCACCAAAA
rnacentral:tRNA from 1 species